rnacentral:rRNA from 1 species
UUCCGGUUGAUCCCGCCAGACCUGACUGCUAUCGGAUUGAUACUAAGCCAUGCGAGUCAUUGUAGCAAUACAAGGCAUACGGCUCAGUAACGCGUAGUCAACCUAACCUAUGGACGGGAAUAACCUCGGGAAACUGAGAAUAAUGCCCGAUAGAACAUUAUACCUGGAAUGGUUUAUGUUCCAAAUGAUUUAUCGCCGUAGGAUGGGACUGCGGCCUAUCAGUUUGUUGGUGAGGUAAUGGCCCACCAAGACUAUUACAGGUACGGGCUCUGAGAGGAGUAGCCCGGAGAUGGGUACUGAGACACGGACCCAGGCCCUAUGGGGCGCAGCAGGCGAGAAAACUUUGCAAUGUGCGAAAGCACGACAAGGUUAAUCCGAGUGAUUUCUGCUAAAGAAAUCUUUUGUUAGUCCUAGAAACACUAACGAAUAAGGGGUGGGCAAGUUCUGGUGUCAGCCGCCGCGGUAAAACCAGCACCUCAAGUGGUCAGGAUGAUUAUUGGGCCUAAAGCAUCCGUAGCCGGCUCUGUAAGUUUUCGGUUAAAUCUGUACGCUUAACGUACAGGCCGCCGGGAAUACUGCAAAGCUAGGGAGUGGGAGAAGUAGACGGUACUCGGUAGGAAGUGGUAAAAUGCUUUGAUCUAUCGAUGACCACCUGUGGCGAAGGCGGUCUACUAGAACACGUCCGACGGUGAGGGAUGAAAGCUGGGGGAGCAAACCGGAUUAGAUACCCGGGUAGUCCCAGCUGUAAACUAUGCAAACUCAGUGAUGCAUUGGCUUGUGGCCAAUGCAGUGCUGCAGGGAAGCCGUUAAGUUUGCCGCCUGGGAAGUACGUACGCAAGUAUGAAACUUAAAGGAAUUGGCGGGGGAGCACCACAAGGGGUGAAGCCUGCGGUUCA